rnacentral:misc_RNA from 1 species
UUUCCGUAGGUGAACCUGCGGAAGGAUCAUUAAUGUGUUUGGGCCUCACGGCUCUUCAUUCCGACGCUGUGCGCCUUCGGGCUGCACGCUGAGGGAGCAUAUAUCCACCCCUGUGCACACACACGGUGGCGAGCUGGGCAACGGCUCGCCGCUGAUCUUUACACACGUCUAAAAGUCAUUGUAUGUUUAUUUGAGAUAAAAACACAACUUUCAGCAACGGAUCUCUUGGCUCUC